GAUGAACGCUGGCGGCGUGCCUAAUACAUGCAAGUCGAGCGAACAGACGAGGAGCUUGCUCCUCUGACGUUAGCGGCGGACGGGUGAGUAACACGUGGAUAACCUACCUAUAAGACUGGGAUAACUUCGGGAAACCGGAGCUAAUACCGGAUAACAUGUUGAACCGCAUGGUUCAACAGUGAAAGACGGUCUUGCUGUCACUUAUAGAUGGAUCCGCGCCGCAUUAGCUAGUUGGUAAGGUAACGGCUUACCAAGGCAACGAUGCUUAGCCGACCUGAGAGGGUGAUCGGCCACACUGGAACUGAGACACGGUCCAGACUCCUACGGGAGGCAGCAGUAGGGAAUCUUCCGCAAUGGGCGAAAGCCUGACGGAGCAACGCCGCGUGAGUGAAGAAGGUCUUCGGAUCGUAAAACUCUGUUAUUAGGGAAGAACAAAUGUGUAAGUAACUAUGCACGUCUUGACGGUACCUAAUCAGAAAGCCACGGCUAACUACGUG
rnacentral:rRNA from 1 species